AGCCAAAUAUAUCUACAUGGGAGUCGGCCUCGAAGCUCUUCACUAUCAUGUCAUCGACGUAGGCCUGCAUAUUCUGGCCAAGGACCCGCUUAAAGACCUUGG